rnacentral:rRNA from 1 species
CCCUACGGGAGGCAGCAGUAGGGAAUCUUCCACAAUGGGCGAAAGCCUGAUGGAGCAACGCCGCGUGAGUGAAGAAGGGUCUCGGCUCGUAAAGCUCUGUUGGUAGAGAAGAAAGAUAGAGGGAGUAACUGGCCUUUAUUUGACGGUAAUUAAUUAGAAAGUCACGGCUAACUACGUGCCAGCAGCCGCGGUAAUACGUAGGUGGCAAGCGUUGUCCGGAUUUAUUGGGCGUAAAGCGAGGGCAGGCGGUUACAUAA